rnacentral:misc_RNA from 1 species
GCUAGGAGUUGCUGUGGCUGGAGCUCGGGGUCAGCGAGCGACCUCGGCCGCGUGCUGCAACUUCGGGGCAGCGGCGGGCCCUGGCUCUGCCGCUUGGCCGCGUACCGCACCGACGCGGACCGCUCGAACGCGCCCAGGCCACCGGACGCGCCCCUCUGCCCCAGCACGAGCGCCGCUGCUGCAGUAAGCGCCUCCUCGUCUAUGGACACGGAGGCCUUAGCGGAGUCCCUCCCGCCGCCGCCACGGCCGCGGGAAGAGGUGGACGAGCGCCGCUUCGGCUGCGGCGGCGGGGACCUGUUCCCCGACGGGAUUGGGUCGGAGAGGCAGGACAUCAGCGAGCCCAUCGGGCCGAGCCGGGUAGAUUCGGAGCAGGAAAAUCCUCGCCUUGCUGCCCCGGUGCU